rnacentral:tRNA from 1 species
UUACUGGUAGGUUAUUUAAACUGGCAAAUUGUGGUUUUGUUGAUUACGCUUUUAUUAAAAUUUUGUA